rnacentral:sRNA from 1 species
AUGUACCCCCGUCCACUGCGGUUCUGAGCGCGCCGUCCGCGCCCACCUGACAGCUGCUCGCGACGUUGUGUUAACC